rnacentral:rRNA from 1 species
UGGAGAGUUUGAUCCUGGCUCAGGACGAACGCUGGCGGCGUGCUUAACACAUGCAAGUCGAGCGGUAAGGCCCUUCGGGGUACACGAGCGGCGAACGGGUGAGUAACACGUGGGUGAUCUGCCUUGCACUCUGGGAUAAGCCUGGGAAACUGGGUCUAAUACCGGAUAUGACCUUCGGUUGCAUGACCGGGGGUGGAAAGAUUUAUCGGUGCAAGAUGAGCCCGCGGCCUAUCAGCUUGUUGGUGGGGUAAUGGCCUACCAAGGCGACGACGGGUAGCCGGCCUGAGAGGGCGACCGGCCACACUGGGACUGAGACACGGCCCAGACUCCUACGGGAGGCAGCAGUGGGGAAUAUUGCACAAUGGGCGGAAGCCUGAUGCAGCGACGCCGCGUGAGGGAUGACGGCCUUCGGGUUGUAAACCUCUUUCGACUCCGACGAAGCGAGAGUGACGGUAGGAGUAUAAGAAGCACCGGCCAACUACGUGCCAGCAGCCGCGGUA